GAUCCUGGCUCAGGAUGAACGCUAGCUACAGGCUUAACACAUGGCAAGUCGAGGGAAACGAUAUUGGAAGCUUGCUUCCGAUAGGCGUCGACCGGCGCACGGGUGAGUAACGCGUAUCCAACCUGCCCAUCACUUGGGGAUAACCUUGCGAAAGUAAGACUAAUACCCAAUGACGUCUCUAGAAGACAUCUGAAGGAGAUUAAAGAUUUAUCGGUGAUGGAUGGGGAUGCGUCUGAUUAGCUUGUUGGCGGGGUAACGGCCACCAAGGCGACGAUCAGUAGGGGUUCUGAGAGGAAGGUCCCCCACAUUGGAACUGAGACACGGUCCAAACUCCUACGGGAGGCAGCAGUGAGGAAUAUUGGUCAAUGGGCGAGAGCCUGAACCAGCCAAGUAGCGUGCAGGAUGACGGCCCUAUGGGUUGUAAACUGCUUUUAUAAGGGAAUAAAGUGGGAGUCGUGACUCUUUUUGCAUGUACCUUAUGAAUAAGGACCGGCUAAUUCCGUG
rnacentral:rRNA from 1 species